AAUUUUUUUAAAGUUUUUGUUACAAAAAUAACCCUCAAUGAAAAAAAUGACUAAAAUAAGUUUUAUUAAAAAGUAAAAUACAUUUAUACCCUAGAGUUAACUAAUCUAAACUUGAGAUUUAGAGUCAAGGAGUGAGAUUUUGAGGUUAGGUUUUCAAAUUUAAAAAAAUAAAAACUAAAUAUUGAAAUUUACAAAUAAAAAAGAGCUAUUUUGGUCAUUUUUUUUAUUGGAAGUUAUUUUUGUGACAAAAACUUAAAAAUAGCUAUUUGAGAGAAUUGCCCUAUUAUAAACAUUUAACUUAUUUUCAAUAAACUUUAAUAAUAGAUUGAUAUCUUAUAAUAUUAUAAAACAAAUUCUAGUAUAGUUUCAUCAUUAAAAUAUUUAUUGUUAUUUAUUUAAAAUUUGGAAAUGGUGUAUCAUACAAUUUAAUAAUAUAAAAGUGUUUCUUUUCUAAAUAAUCAACUAAACACUUAAUGAAAAUUUCCUUUGAAUUUUGCGAUUUUUUUCAUUUCGCGAUUUUUCUUGAUUGGCAAAAUACUUGUGUAAUCGCGUUUAAAAAGUGAUUCCACCAAUCCGCAAAGUUUCCAAUCAAAGCCUUUAUUUGGGUAGGAAUUUCAAAUUCUUGUUGUUGGUAUCUCGUCGGUUGUCGAAUGUAGAGCUGGGAUCGAAACCCGCUGGUUCCGCCCUGUUUGAUCCGCUGCAGGAUAGAUCAACCACUUUAAAAAAAAAAAAAUUGCGGGUGUGAGUUGAGAUUAUUUUAAACGGGACGAAUGUGGAUCAGCCAAAUAUGAGUUGCAUAUACCCGCCAACAAUUUAAAAACAAAAUGUACAAGAAUUUUUGUCGUAAAAGUAGAUAAAAUAUUAUAAAUAUUUUAUUUUCAUAUUAUUUUUAAAAACAUGAUUAAUAUAUAAUUAAAAAUAUUAUUUUUGAUAUAACUAAUUUACCAGCGGAUCCGGUGGAUUGCCCGUGGAUUUUGGCAAAGCGGGUACGGAUGUAAGAUUUUUUGUUUGCGGAUUAUGUGGAUUAAAUUUUUGAAUCAAAAAAAAUAAAUUGAUCUGUGGAAGGGCGGAUUGAUCCACAAACCCUACACUAGUCGAAUGGGUUUGCAUAAAAGGACAAAUGAAUAAUACAUGAAAAUAAGAUUUGAAAUUUAAGGAUUUUCACUAGCAGUAACAAAACCUUCAGUCUUGUAUGCAGAAAAAUUCUAAAUUAAUAAAAUAUUAAUGUAUUUAUCACAAAUUUUAUAAUCACCCUAAAAUCAGUUCAAAAUUUCUUUGAAUCAUUUAAAUUUAGUAUAAGAAUACUCCUAAAAUUUGUAAUUUAUGACAUGUUUGUUUUUGUAUCCAAAUGCUUCAUCUGAAUGUUAAUAUUCAGAUGAUUCUCGUUUGGACAAUAUUGCAUCAUCAUCUAUAUGCAAUAUCUAGAUGCCAAAUCUAUAAUAUCUAGAAUAUUUAGAUAUUUGAAAUGAAAAAAAUAUAGAGUUUGGAUGUUACAUUUUCAUCUUAAAAUUCAAAAGAUUUUAAAUACCUCUAAUAUAAAUAUAAAAUUAAUUAAACUAGUUAUUAUAAUUAUAAUACAAUAUUGUAAUCGAGAAAUUGUAUUUUUCCAUAAAAACUAAAAAUUGCGUUUUUCCGCCAAAAUUAUAAAAUUUAGUUUUCACGAACACCGUAAAAUCAUAUUUUCUCGCCAAACUGUAAAAAUACAUUUUCUACCAACACAGAAAAAUCACGUUUUUCUGUAAAAAUGUAAAAUUACAUUUUUUGCUAAAACCAUAAAAUCAUAAAGUUGUAUAUGCUCAUCAAUAUUAUUAGCCUAGUUGGCAUAUGUAUACUUUGUUAAGAUAAAUAAUUUUCUUGACAACACAAAGAAUAGUUUAUAGUCCCCUUCAAGUAUUUAAAGAUCGUCUUCAUUGCCCUUUAGUGUGUUAUUGACUUAUUUCUCGAACUUAAUUUGGAAUGACUAAGAAAACUAACCACAUAAUACAUAUCAGGUCAAAUGUACAUCAUACAACACAUCAAGUUUUAUACAACAUUAGAAUAGUGGAUUCUUUCAAUAUCACUUUUUUAUCAUCAAUUUGGAGUCAUAUAAGUAAACUACGUGCAAUGGACUUGUUGAAAAAUUAUUUCAACAGUUGAAUAGCCACAUUGAGGCUGUUGAAUAAUUGAGGAAAGUGACGUGGAUUACAUUUUGUUGAAUUCAUUCAACCGGUUGAAAGAAGCAAUGUGGAACCUACAAGAGUAACUUUGGCUUAUUCUCAGCCAUACAAAAUGAGAAAAGUUGUCCACAUUGUAUUUUUUUUUUGCUUAAAAACAAUAAAUCCGAUUGGUGCAAGUGUCACCAUACUAUUAGCUGUUCAGAUUUCAUAUAUUUUUAUCUCAUCCAAAUUUUUGAGAUCAAUUAUUUUAUUUUAAAUAAUAUUAUUUUAUAUAAAAAUAUAUCAAAAUUCAUAACUUUCAUACUCUAUAAAUAGAGUCUUGGUUCAUUAGGUUUAGACAUAGAGAAAAAAAUCAGUUUUUGACUAUAAUAUUUCUAUAUUCUCUUUUGUGUCAAUAAUGGAUCAAAACAAUAACCUUUUUAAUACUCAAAACUCCACAAAUUAUCCUCUCAAUUAUCAAAAUCUCAACAAUUACCAAUUUCAAAAUUCAGCUUUCAACCAACCCCAAAAUAUACCAAUUUUUUCUAUGGCUUAUGUUCCAAACUAUCGUCCAUAAUAUGGAUCAAUGAUGCCAUAUUCAUUUCCACCACCUUUUUUUAUUCUUCUCCUUCCAUGGGUAAUGAAAAUAUUUUAAACGUUGGAACAAUUAAAUUUCCUGAAUUUUUUACACAAACAACUCCUGGAGGCAUAAGCGGGUCACUCUCAAUGCAGAGGAUCCGCUUCCUACUCGCCGGAAAAGCCCCAAAUGGACUACUGCAUAAAAUUUGGUGUUGCUAGGUGGAUGGAUUAAAUAUGAAACAGACAACAUUGUUGGCAGAAACCAAAAAGUGAGUCAUAUUGGGGACAAACUGCUGAGUACUGUAACAAACAUUGCUCAUUCGAUCUUCCUCAUGAUGGAGCAGAGUGGGUGGUCAGAGAAUGAUGUUUUAGCUAAAGUGCACGAACUAUAGUCAAGUGGUAAGAAUGGUCAUUUCAAUUUAUUGUCAGAAUGGCUCGCUGUCCGUGAUCAACCACGCUAUGGUAGUCAAGUAGGAGGAAAAACAGGUUCGGGAAGUAGUGGGUCUAAGAGAUUCCACGAGAGUGAUGCAAGUGACUCAAAUUACUGUUUGAUUUUUUUAUGCUUUAAUAUGUAUGUUUUUUUUUAUUUAAUCAUGUAUAUUGUUUCUUCUACUUUAAUAAGUGUGUCAAUGCAGUCUGUGACCGUUGGUGCAAAUCAAGGGGGUAAUGUCUCUUUAUGAUUUUUAUGCUUUAUUAAUGUUAUUUAUUUUUUCUGCUUUAAUCAUGUAUUUUUUUAUUUUCUACUUUAAUAAAUGUCUCGAUGCAAUCUGUGACCA